CCUUGUACCUAUUCCUAGCAAAUCUAUCCAAUUUAUCGGUCAGAAACACGUCUCCUCACGUAGAACCACUAUAACAAGCUCUUAGAAAGUGUGUGCUUCCUGUGAAAGUGGCAAGUUAUAGUGCGCCUUCCAUUUGUGAGUGAGCAAUUUGCACAGCAAAGAGAUUUUUCGAUCUUGCUCCUCCUCCUGACUAACAAAAGGGGGAAACCCGGUGAAAAUUCAUUGAGCUAUUGUGUUUAUUGACAUUGGUGAUUUUUGGUGAAUCUUCGGUUGACGGAUAUUAGCUCUUCAGCCUUUGACAAGCAGAGAGGAAAAAAGUAUGGCGACAAAGCAAAAUUUUGAGAAGACACGAGAAUAGAUAGAGGCGCCUCAGAUUAGAAAUCAUGUCUGCGGAGUCAAGCCCGACCGAUUGCUCAGCUCUGACAGAAAAUUCAAGGGCUCCGUUUUUUGAAGACUCACAAUGGCAGACUACUAGGCGACUUUCGAAAGCAGUGCCUUUUCUUCGCGCAAGAUCAGUGUCGCAAACGUCUGUUUAUCGUUCAGCAAGUGGAUAUUCUUUUAAAAGUUUAGGCAAGGGCACAAAAAUCUUGGACUUUCUUUCGACUUGCUUUUGGACUUGCGCACUAUGCUGCCAUCAAACUGCAUGACGUGGGUAAGGUAAAAUGGGCUGUCAAAAUUUCAAUGGAGAAGUUAUUUGCACAUAAAUUAGAAUUGAAAAUAAAUAUUUUUUGAUGAAUUUUUUAAAA